GACGAACGCUGGCGGCGUGCUUCACACAUGCAAGUCGAACGAAGUGGCGAACGGGUGAGUAAUAAGUGAGUAACAUGCCCUCCUUUGUGGGAUAAGCCUUGGAAACGGGGUCUAAUACCGAAUAAAGGGGGAUGGGCUCGCGGCCUAUCAUCUUGGUGGUGGGGUGAUGGCCUACCAAGGCGGUGACGGGUGGCCGGCCGGAGAGGGUGACCGGCGACAUUGGGACUGAGAGACGGCCCAGACUCCUACGGGAGGCAGCAGUGGGGGAUAUUGCACAAUGGGCGAAAGCCUGAUGCAGCGACGCCGCGUGGGGGAGGAAGGCUUUCGGGUUGUAAACCUCUGUUGUUAAGGAAGGAGGACUUAACCAGAAAGGGACGGCUAACUACGUGCCAGCAGCCGCGGUAAUAC
rnacentral:rRNA from 1 species